ensembl:lncRNA
CAACUGACUGACUGUGCCUCAGUGGGACUUGUUGAUGUCCCUUGGGUAUGACUGAGCAUGCAGGCAUAUAUAGCGCUUAUGGGAAGAUUUAGUUUCACAGACUGAUCCUUAGAACGGACCUGUCUGUCUGUAUCCUGAUCUGUUCUGACAGAAGCUUUUAGAAGGAUGAACAUAUUUUAGAUUGAAGGCUGAGGAAGAUAUUCACUACAGUGGCUGAGUCAGUGUGCGGAUACGGCUGAUGGUACAGGGUGAGCCGAUGGUCCUGAGACGUCCGAGGCAGGUCCUCUGGUUUGUGGUUUAGCAUCCUUCGGUCGCUUUUUUCAGUGAUGUUGGAAUUGUUCCCACUUCUGCAUGAAUUACUUCUGUGCACACCUGUUGGCAGGAACCAAGGCUGCAGUUACACCAGGCAGCCCCAGGGCCUACGGAAUGUCCAAGCUCAGCGUUCCCAUACCAAAACGAGGGUGUACUGUGGUCUUCCAUAGAGAGGACACACCAUUGGGCUUCCUUUUAGCCUUCUUCCUGCAUCUUUAUUUUUUUUUAUAAACUGGGACAUAGUUCUUUACCUAAUUCAUUACUCCACUUGAGGAAGGGGAUCAACAUAAAAACAUGAGUUCACUUUUCAGAUUCUAUCUUCCUGUCCCCUCCAACAGGCACUCUUUCUCCAGCCCUCCCUGCAGCCUUCCCUAAAGCCAAGGGUGGAGAGACCAGCCUGGCACAUAUCUCAAAGUGUCUGGUCUGGAUUCUUUAGUGAGAAAGGACUUGGGCCAAGAGAACAGAACCUCAUUGUCUGACACGGGGGAUGUCAAAUUCAUAUUUUUUUGGGGGGGGGGAGGGAGGAAGGAGCCCUUUGCUGCAAGACUAUGGUCUUAACUGUUCCUGUAAGAACACUGAACUCUCCAGGUCCCUGAAAGCCAGUGUGAAGUCAUCCCUCCCUGCAGAGUAGUUGGAUGAGUGACAGCCCCUCAGGGUGAGUGAAGAGUGAAGGCUUGCUCCAGGAGAACCCAGCUGCCCUGGCACCCACCAACAGCUUGCCUCCUCCAAAGUGGACUCUGGGCCCUUGGAUCUGACUUGGACUUGACCAGGUGGUCUCACACCCAAGUCUAAUCCUCGGUACAGAUGAGAGAUUUCAAGUGACGCAGCUGGCCUGCAUGACUCACCUGUGAGCUUGCAUUCAGCCGCCAUGGAGGCAGUGUGCUGGGCAACUCUGCAUACUCUGUCUUGGAACAGCUUCUCCCUGUGUCCCAUGUUCACUGUCAAAAACUUAUCAUUAGGAGAGAGGAAUUGGUGCCUCUGAGUGCUACCCCUCCCUGGAAGUUGGGGGCUCAACCUGAUUUUAUCCCUGAUGACUCCACUUCACCUUCAGGGCCUGUCAAGUUCACAUGAGAGAGGUCCUACCAGAAACCCCAUCCCCUUUGCCUCACAGAGGGUGCCAGGCAGCCUCUUGCCCCCUCCCCUCAGGGUGCCUGGCCCAGCCUGCCUUUCACUCCUCUCUGCCAGCUGCUCCGCCAGAUGGUCAUCAUCCUCCUUUUCCUCUGGGGUACACAUUGUGGCAUUUGGCAAGGCCUUCUCCUUGUAUUGAGGGGUACAGACUAGGGGGAGCUCGAAGUCUUGCCCUUCCAUUUUUCAGAGAAAGAUUCCAACAACACGGGAAGUGUAGAGUAGGAUGAGCCAGUUCACCUGAUCUGCCCCCACCUGUCUCCACCUGCCAUGACCUGCCCUUACCUGUCUUCACCUAUCCUCACCUGUCCCCACUUGCCCUCACCUGCCCUCACCUGUUCUUCCCAGCCACCAACUGCCCUACCCUGCCUUCACCUGUUCCCCACCUGUCCCUACAUGCCCUAACCUGACCUCGCAUGUCCUCACCCACCCUCGCCUGUUCGCUCUCCUCCCAGAGGUGGGUGUGGCUAUGGCUUGGUAAGUGUCUUGCAGGACCUCCCUAUGCACUUCUGUGCUGAGUAGGAUUUAACCAGGGUCCGGCUUCCCAGGUGGCGCUAGUCAUAAAGAACCUGCCAAUGCAGGAGACAUAAGAGGCACAGGUUCGAUCCCUAGGUUGGGAAGAUCCCCUGGAGGAUGGCCUGGCGACCCACUCCAGUACUGUUGCCCGAGAAUCCCAUGAACAGAGGAGCCUAGAGGGCUACAGUCCAUAGUGUCCCAAAGAGUCAGACACAUGGGAGUGGCUAAGCACACACGCACACAUAGCCAGGAUCUGUGUACCUAGCGAUGUGCACAGUUUGUUCCCUACAGUAGGUCUCCAGUGCUUUCUAUGACAGCACACAGACAUCUGUUUCAUUCUUUUAAUGGACGCGGGGUAUUUUGCAUGGUGGAUAAACCUUGAUAUAUUGAACUUCCCCCUUUUAUUCCAGGCAGGUAAGUGAUCCGUGACUAAACAGUAGCAAUGGGAUGAUGGUGUGAAGCUUUUAAUCAGCUAGCAAUCACCAUGACUGGUGUUGACAUCAACAAGAGUAUCUAUUGGGUGCCAAGCUUUCCAAAUGAGCUUUCCUUUCCCUUCUGACUCAUCGUUUUCUUUUCUUUUUAACUUUUAUUUUAUAUUGGAAUAUAGUUGAUUUACAGUAUUGUAUUAGUUUCAGG